rnacentral:rRNA from 1 species
CUGGGAUUUCCUGUUGUAGCCGUGAAAUGCCCAGAUAUUCAGGAGGAACACCGGUGGAGAAGGCAGGUCUCUGGGCUGUUACUGACGCUGAAGGAGCGAAACCAUGGGGAGCGAACAGGAUUAGAUACCCUGGGUAGGUCCAUGCCGUAAUACGUUGGGCAACUAGGUGUGGGGGACAUUCCACGUUCUCCGCGCCGUAGCUAACGCAUUAAGUGCCCCGCCUGGGGAGUACGGCCGCAAGGCUAAAACUCAAAGGAAUUGACGGGGGCCCGCACAAGCGGCGGAGCAUGCGGAUUAAUUCGAUGCAACGCGAAGAACCUUACCAAGGCUUGACAUUCACCGGACCGCCCCAGAGAUGGGGUUUCCCUUCGGGGUCGGUGGACAGGUGGUGCAUGGUUGUCGUCAGCUCGUGUCGUGAGAUGUUGGGUUAAGUCCCGCAACGAGCGCAACCCUCGUUCUAUGUUGCCAGCACGUGAUGGUGGGGAGUCAUAGGAGACUGCCGGGGUCAACUCGGAGGAAGGUGGGGAUGACGUCAAAUCAUCAUGCCCCUUAUGUCUUGGGCUUCACGCAUGCUACAAUGGCCGGUACAAAGGGUUGCGAUACUGUGAGGUGGAGCUAAUCCCAAAAAGCCGGUCUCAGUUCGGAUUGAGGUCUGCAACUCGACCUCAUGAAGUGGGAGUCGAUAGUAAUCGCAGAUCAGCAACGAUGCGGUGAAUACGUUCCCGGGCCUUGUACACACCGCCCGUCAAGUCACGAAAGUUGGUAACACCCGAAGCCGGUGGCCUAACCCCUUGGGGAGGAGCCUCGAAGGGGGGCACGAAUUGAAAAGGGUG